UUAGAAGAGACGCAUUUAUUAGAUAAAAAGCCAGUUCAUGCUUUUACAGUAUGAAAAUUGGUGAUUUAUAAUAACUUAGCAAAUCGCAAAGUGAAAACAGGCGAUAAAUCAUUCAAGUUUCUGACCUAUCAGCUUUCGACGGUAUGGUAUUGGCUUACCGUGGCAGUGACGGUUAACGGGGGAUUAGGGUUCGAUUCCGGAGAGGGAGCCUGAGAAACGGCUACCACAUCUAAGGAAGGCAGCAGGCGCGCAAAUUACCCAAUUCUAACAGUUUGAGAGAGGUAGUAACAAGAAAUAACAAUACAAGGCAGUUAAAAUGCUUUGUAAUUGGAAUGAUAGAAAUUUAAACCCUUUUUAAAGUAUCAAUUGGAGGGCAAGUCUGGUGCCAGCAGCCGCGGUAAUUCCAGCUCCAAUAGCGUAUAUUAAAAUUGUUGCAGUUAAAAAGCUCGUAGUUGAAGUUCUGCUAAAAGUAACCGGUCUGCUUUUAAUAAAAGUGGUAUCUUGGUAUGUAUUUAGCAAUGAUGUCCUUUGAAGUGUUUUUUACUUUAUUGUAAUAAAGCAUAUUCAGGACUUUUACUUUGAGAAAAUUAGAGUGUUUCUAGCAGGCUGACGCUUUGAA
rnacentral:rRNA from 1 species